rnacentral:tRNA from 1 species
AAAGGGAGACCUAAUUCAGGUAGGAGACGAAAAAAAAGUAGUCCCUACCAAGAAUCAAUCCCAAAAGGUCGGAGCGAGGCGAAAUUGGCUUUCAAACUAGGUUCUGGGUUCACACAAGACCUGAAUCAGGAACAAGGGCUAUUAGCUCAGGUGGUUAGAGCGCACCCCUGAUAAGGGUGAGGUCCCUGGUUCGAGUCCAGGAUGGCCCACCUGUACAGGUGGCAAAAACAAAGAAAAGAAGCUCCGAAUCAGCACCUUAUCUUAUUUAUAUAGUAAGAGAGAAUGCUGGCUCUGAGUAAAGAGUCCAGAGGAACCUUGAAAACUGCAUAGAGCUAGGUGAAAAAGCCAAAAAAGAAGACCGCAAG